UACGUAGGGUCCGAGCGUUGUCCGGAAUUAUUGGGCGUAAAGGGCUCGUAGGCGGUCCGUCACGUCGGGAGUGAAAACUCAGGGCUCAACCCUGAGCGUGCUUCCGAUACGGGCGGACUAGAGGUAUGCAGGGGAGAACGGAAUUCCUGGUGUAGCGGUGGAAUGCGCAGAUAUCAGGAGGAACACCGGUGGCGAAGGCGGUUCUCUGGGCAUUACCUGACGCUGAGGCACGAAAGCUAGGGGAGCAAACAGG
rnacentral:rRNA from 1 species